rnacentral:rRNA from 1 species
GACGAACGCUGGCGGCGUGCCUAAUGCAUGCAAGUCGAACGCAUUCUUCGGAAUGAGUGGCGCACGGCUGAGGAACACGUGACUAACCUACCCCGGUGUGGGGGAUAACGGGUCGAAAGACUCGCUAAUCCCGCAUACGAUCCGCCUCGGCGGAGGAAAGCGGUAACGCGCACUGGGCGGGGGUCGCGUCCCAUUAGAUAGUUGGUGUGGUAAUGGCGCACCAAGUCGAUGAUGGGUCUCUGGUCUGAGAGGACGACCAGACAGAUUGGGACUGAGACACGGCCCAAACUCCUACGGGGGGCAGCAGCAAGGAAUUUUCGGCAAUGGGCGCAAGCCUGACCGAGCAACGCCGCGUGGAGGAUGACGGCUCUUGGGUUGUAAACUCCUUUUGGGGGGGACGAUGAUGACGGUACCCUCCGAAUCAGGCCCGGCUAACUACGUGCCAGCCGCCGCAGUAAAAC